rnacentral:rRNA from 1 species
ACCCUUUAAUGUUUGAUGUUCUAACGUGGACCCGUAAUCCGGGUUGCGGACAGUGUCUGGUGGGUAGUUUGACUGGGGCGGUCUCCUCCUAAAGAGUAACGGAGGAGCACGAAGGUUGGCUAAUCCUGGUCGGACAUCAGGAGGUUAGUGCAAUGGCAUAAGCCAGCUUGACUGCGAGCGUGACGGCGCGAGCAGGUGCGAAAGCAGGUCAUAGUGAUCCGGUGGUUCUGAAUGGAAGGGCCAUCGCUCAACGGAUAAAAGGUACUCCGGGGAUAACAGGCUGAUACCGCCCAAGAGUUCAUAUCGACGGCGGUGUUUGGCACCUCGAUGUCGGCUCAUCACAUCCUGGGGCUGAAGUAGGUCCCAAGGGUAUGGCUGUUCGCCAUUUAAAGUGGUACGCGAGCUGGGUUUAGAACGUCGUGAGACAGUUCGGUCCCUAUCUGCCGUGGGCGCUGGAGAACUGAGGGGGGCUGCUCCUAGUACGAGAGGACCGGAGUGGACG